UACGUAGGUGGCGAGCGUUGUCCGGAAUCACUGGGCGUAAAGGGCGCGUAGGCGGCAAUACAAGUCGCAUGUGAAAUACCAGGGCUUAACCUUGGGGUGUCAUGCGAAACUGUAUGGCUUGAGUGCAGUAGAGGUAAGCGGAAUUCCUGGUGUAGCGGUAAAAUGCGUAGAGAUCAGGAGGAACACCGGUGGCGAAGGCGGCUUACUGGGCUGCAACUGACGCUGAGGCGCGAAAGCGUGGGGAGCAAACAGG
rnacentral:rRNA from 1 species